rnacentral:rRNA from 1 species
ACAUGCUUACAACUUAGCGUUAAUGCACCAGAUCCCAUUAAAACCCCUUAGUUAAGCAUGCUUGAGCUAGAGUAGCACUGGGAUGGGUGACCACCUGGGAAGCACUAGUAUUUUACAUGCG